CAGCCUCAAGGUGAGGCUCCAGCCUCCGGCAUCUGGAGUAUCUCUCUAUCUUCCUUGGGUGGAGGAAGGAGAAGCUCCAAUUCCAGGGCACUCCCCACCUUCUGCAGAAACAAAGUGAUAUGUCUAAAGGAAGCUGCUUUGUGGUGUGGUCCCUGGAAGAAUGGGGAGUUUCUAUGGGUAAAAUACCUUUGUCCCUGUGUCAUAUCAUCAUGGUGCACUGCAGUGUGCUGUCCUGGGGCAGAGGAGUGGAAAGCCCCAGUACUGCCAUAACCCCAGAUGAUAACAGUACCUGGGAAGAGAGUGGCAACACAGCAUCUCUGUAAGCUCUGAGAUCUUCUGGUUAUCUAAUAUAUUGGGGAUAUGAAAGUACGUCUCUUUGAACACUUUGUGCAAUUAAAAAAAAAAAUCUUAUUAAUUUUUUUGUUCUAUAAUUAGACAAAUGUUGGAAUGAUCUCAACUCAAUGUUUUCUAAUGGAGGUAAGUGGUUCCUCUAUUGAGAGAAAGAAAAAAAAAAGCAAUUUCUUCUUAGUUGUAUUGCUUUAUUUUCAAUUGGGAUGAUAUAUUCUAAGUUAGAAUCAUGAAUAUUACUUUAAUUCAAAGAGCAGCUACAGGCUUUUAACUGUACUUUUUGUUCCUGAAAAGUGGCACCCUUGGUGGGGGUAGGGGGAGCUGCAGCUUUAGAUCCUUAGGAAAAAUUACUCCAUAUUUUGUGAAAGGAGAUUUGUUAUUUUCUGGAAUGCAAGAUGUUUUGUUAAACUCAGUCUCUCUUAGGAAUAGCAUCCUCAAAGCCAAAUCACUCCCAUUAGCAAUUGCCAUGAGACUGACUUGUUUAUUUAUCAGCAGUUAAUUCCUUCACUCCUCUCACAUGAAGCUAAGAAAUCAGUUUGCUAAAGAGAUGAAUACGUAUUUUUUGGAGUGAGGCAGCCCAGGCAAGAUACCACUUCCUGCUUUCUUUUCCAUAUUUGUUAAUGUUCUUUUAUUAGCACAGUACUAACCUUUCACAAAACAAAGAUCAGAUGGGCAGGCUGAUGCAUGCCUAGUGAUUGCGCCCCGGAGUACAUCAAUUCCUUUAACUUAAAGGACAGGAAAUUUUUGGCAUUGUGAAAAGAGGUCUGUAGGUGAUUUCCUGAUUGUGCAUCUCCAGAAUUGCUACUGAAAAUUAAUCUACAUUCACAAUUAGGUCUUGCAUUCCAUUCUCUUGCGAAAAUGAUAGCAGAGACCUCUCAUCCCCAUUAUUUUCUGUUUUCUUCUGGCAAAGGAUUAGUAUUUCUGUAGGAAUCAGAGUCCUGUCCUUAUGUACCCUGAUAGCCUCGAAGUCUACUUGAAAGCCACAGACUUGCGUUGAACAAGCCAUGUCAACAGGAUGUGUUAGCUCAGUGUGUACUUCAGGGGCUUUCUUACUGUGUGACAACCACACGAGGUAAGUGCUCUACUUGCAGUGCAGUUGUUUUGUAUAAAAAGAAAAAGACCUGAGCUGCCAUUGGUAGUCAUUGCUCUAUAUAGAAAUACUUCCUGGCCAGAAAUUGCUGGAUACCAACAAGCAGUGUGAGGGAGUAACCGGGAUAAUUCAGGACAAAAAUGUAAGAGAGACCAGAAAAAAAAACUGGGCACAGGAAAGGGAAUGUAGGGAACAGUGCCCGUGUAAACAGGCAGGGUGUGUCUUCUGGUAUGCUUUUUUCCUAACAGUGGAGAACCUGGGGCUGACGCUGACAUGAAGCAUGCCAGUAAAUGUAACACCUGAAGAAAGAGUACACAUGCGAGUCACAAAAGCUUUUGUAAGCUAAAAUUGUUUGCUUUAGCUGCAGGAAGCAGAACUGUGGCACACAGCCAUUUUGCCCUGAUUUUUUCUGUGUUUUUCAACAGAAAAGUCAUCUCCUCUAACAGUUGUGUGCAUGUGAUUCCUGCACUGAAACUGGCUGGGAUGCUGUCAGGAUAAGAAGAUGCAGUUACAUGGCUAGGAGAAAGUAUCAGCAUACAUGAGACUUGACCCCACAGUGACCUGCUUGCACAAGCAGCCUCAGAUUUCUCUGAAGCCUUUAGGUCGAUUGUUCAGUCUGCCCUUGUUGGAACUGGGUUUGGCACGUUUUAGGAACAGUGUGUUUAGUUUGAGCUGUCACCACCCUGGUUAGCAUUGUCCUGAUGUUAUGAAAGGUGGAAUGACUGGGAAGCCAGGGGAGCACCUGACCAAGAUGAAUCAUUGUGGAACGAUAGUGUAACUUCCAGGAAAGACAGAAGCCAUCACAGAACAGAGCAGGCAGGGAGCGGAGGAGGACACCGUGAGAAAGAAAUAAUUAUGGCAAAAGUAAAAGAAUGCUCUCAACUACUUGUUCAGUCUAAUUGUAUCCUUACAAAUAUGAGCUCAGUGGAAAAAAUAUGGCAGAGAUUCAUUACAGGACAUCUGCUUGGUGAAGUCAUUUUUCUAGUGCACUGCUGGUCUGUUCAAGCCGUAAUACUCUGCUCUUUUGUCCUUAAGAAAUAUCACUGAAAGAAGAUGAUGAAGAAAGAAAAAAUGUUUUAAGAAAAUCAUUGAUAACUCGCAGCUCGAUUAUACUCAACAAUUGAAUCAGAAACUGGAUGGCAAAUACAAUUUAUAAUACCAUGUGUUGGCCAAGUCCAUCAGAAAUGAUUGAUGUCUCAUCAUCACGGUUGGGUACCACAGGAUCCAACAAGGUGCCAGACUUUAGGAGGACCGGAGGCUGAACUGGCUUUAAACAUGAUAAACCCGAAGAAGGAGCAUGGUGCCU
ensembl:lncRNA